CGUUAUCAAAUUGGUCCACAUGGAGGUCUGAAGAGUCCAAACUUGAACUUUAUUUGAUUUCAUCAAAAAAUGAAUUAUUGGGGUUCUUUGAUCAUGGUGAUAUGCUGCAUCUAACCAUGUAUUAGAUUUUGAAUAUUGGACCAUAUUAGAGGUUAAUUGUUAAUUUAAAAUUUUUAAUUACUUGGACCACAUUCAUUCUGUGUCAGAAACCUAUGCUGUGUCAAAUAUUGACUCACAAUCCAAAUUCAAAAUUCAGAGCUGUAUCAAGCUUAAAUGUUGUGUCCAUACUUGCCCCAACUAUUCAGGGUUCAACCUGUACAGUCGUAUCAAGCUGAGCCAUGCGUAGCAUUUUUAUUGGUUAUUAUCUCUGAUAAAGAUAUACUGUAAACAGCAAAUAUAAUUCGCAAAGUAAAGUCUACAAAUAUGAUAUUAUUACACCAAAAAUUGUCAAUUGACCCCAUAAGGAGUUAUUGCCUUUUAAAGACAAUUUUUCACAAUUUGUUCAUCUAGUUUGCUCAAUACUCUAAAGAAUCUUCUCCUUUGAAGUGACAUUGCAGAAUAUAUAACAGCCAAACUUGGACUGAAUGAGUUUCAGAGUAACUAGUUUUAAGUUUGUAUUUUAUUUCCUUUUAGGUCAAGAAACAUAGUCACUUUAUAGUAUAUAUUAUUAUUACUUUAUACAUGGCUAAAAUGGAACAAAGGGGUUUAAAAUGAUCACAAAUGGAAGAUUGAUGCAGAAAAUUUCAGGUGAGCACUUCAGGCUCUUGAGAGCCUCUUGUUUAAUUGCUUCUGUAAGUAAUAUAUAUUAAUUUGAAAUUCUGACGAGUGAGACACAUGCAGAUUAUACUGUAAACAAUAUUUCAGAGUUAAAUGUAGUCAAGCAAACAAAUCAUAUUAGAAUAUGCGAAUCAUGUCUUUGACAAAUGUUUGAUGUCCAAUGAAAAAUUAGUACAAACACGAAGAAAAAGUAUGGGAAUGUUUGUUUUUGUCGAGCCUUCGACUUUAGUCGAAAAAGCGAGACUAAGCGAUCCUACAUUCCGUCGUCGUCGGCGUCGUCGGCGGCGUCAACAAAUAUUCACUCUGUGGUUAAAGUUUUUGAAAUUUUAAUAACUUUCUUAAACUAUACUGGAUUUCUACCAAACUUUGACAGAAGCUUGUUUAUGAUCAUAAGAUAGUAUCCAGAAGUAAAUUUUGUAAAAAUAAAAUUCCAUUUUUUCCAUAUUUUACUAUAAAUGGACUUAGUUUUUUUUCUGCGGGGAAACAAAACAUUCACUCUGUGGUUAAAGUUUUUAGAAUUUUAAUAACUUUCUCAAACUAUCCUGGGUUUGUACCAAACUUGGACAGAAGCUUGUUUAUGAUCAUAAGAUAAUAUCCAGAAGUAAAUUUUGUAAAAAUAAAAUUCCAUUUUUUCCGUAUUUUACUUACAAAUGGACUUAGUUUUUCUGCGGGGAACCAUUACAUUCACUCUGUGGUUAAAGUUUUUAGAAUUUUAAUAACUUUCUUAAACUAUCCUGGGUUUGUACCAGACUUGGACAGAAGGUUGUUUAUGAUCAUAAGAUAGUAUCCAGAAGUAAAUUUUGUAAAUAAAUAAAUCCAUUUUUUCCAUAUUUACUUUUAAAUGGACUUAGUUUUUCUGCGGGGAAUCAUUACAUUCACUCUGUGGUUAAGUUUUUAAAAAUUUUAAUAACUUUCUUAAACUAUCCUGGGUUUGUACCAAACUUGGACAAAGCUUAUUUAUGAUCAUAAGAUUGUAUCCAGAAGUAAAGUUUGUAAAUAAAUAAAUCCAUUUUUCCAUAUUUUACUUUUAAAGGACUUAGUUUUCUGCGGGAACCAUUACAUUCACUCUGUGGUUAAAGUUUUUAAAAUUUUAAUAACUUUCUUAAUUAAACUAUACUGGGUUUGUGCCAAACUUGGACAGAAGCUUAUUUAUGAUCAUAUUAGAUUGUAUCCAGAAGUAAAGUUUGUAAAAAGAUUACUCCGUUUUUCUGUAAUACUUUUAAAUGGACUUAGAUUUCUUACAAUCAUAAAAUAGUAACAAAGAAUAUUUUAUUGAUUUUUUUCCUCAUUAUUGUUGAGCCUGCAAUUUACAGCAAAAAUAGGCGAGACACUGGGUUCCGCGGAACCCUUACAAAUUUUUUAAACUAUUGACCAGGGUGAAAGUCUUUGAAAAUGAUGACUGGCAAAAAGUCUGUGAAAUGAAAUAGCACAAAUAUUCCAUUCUUUUAAAAUAUUAUUGUAUAUAUAAAGAAAAACACAUACUGAUGUUUAAUAAUAGUUUUUACCCUUUUUAGGUUUAGGACAACAUGGACAAGAAAUAUAGAAAAAUAAUGAAAAAUAUAAACAGUUACAAUAAAAAUGAGUGUCAAAGCAAGAUAAACAGAACACAACAAGGCCUAAACGGU
rnacentral:lncRNA from 1 species